rnacentral:rRNA from 1 species
GACGUAGGGCGCGAGCGUUGUCCGGAUUUAUUGGGCGUAAAGAGCUCGUAGGCGGUUUGUCGCGUCUGCUGUGAAAACCCGAGGCUCAACCUCGGGCCUGCAGUGGGUACGGGCAGACUAGAGUGCGGUAGGGGAGAUUGGAAUUCCUGGUGUAGCGGUGGAAUGCGCAGAUAUCAGGAAGAACACCCGUGGCGAAAGCGGCUCUCUGGAACGGUACUGACGCUGAGACGCGAAAGCGUGGGGAGCGAACAGG